CCAAUCUCGUGCCCCUACGUACGCUUCGCGCAUUCCGUACGCGCAUAUUUCACGCGCACCAAGAACUUCACGGCCAGUCGUACAUCACGCCCGCCAGCAACUGCGCUCGGUAAACCCGCACCGCUGUGUAUCUAUCUGGUUGAAUCAAAUAAAUAUACAUUCUCUAAAACAAACAACCGAGUUAAACUUUUUUAUUAAUUACCGAACUCGGCAACCGAUAAGCACGUCCGCGCAUCCGAACUCGCACGACACGGCGAGGACGGACCGUUAUAUUACAAAUGAUUAUGUUAGGAAAUGGAGUAACUGCUUAUCUUAAAUAGUCUCUGAAAAAGGUAGCAAUGAAAUUUCUAAUGGUAACCUAAAUUGUAUACUAAUCAAGUCAAACAUAUAGGCGUAUUGAAGAAGGUUGCAAAUUAUGUUCCAACUACACUAGAAUCCGAGUCUGAACUGAAUUGUCAUCGUGAAUCCUUGUCAGAGGAUGAAGAAUCUAGUUCUUUGGCAUAAGAAAAAGUUCGUUUAUUAAUGACAGUUAUUAAACAGAAUCUUUGCACAGCGGUUCUGUACAGUCUUUAAAAAAUGCAGAAACAAAGUUUCAGCAACCGGAUAAAUUCUUGGACGUAUCAUACAGUUCUGUAUCAAAAGAUCCUACAGAGUUACCGAUUCAUCACUCGCAAAUUAAUUUCGCUCGAUUUGCAAAUGGGAGCUCUAAAACAAGACCAAAA